rnacentral:sRNA from 1 species
GGAAGAUACCUAUUUCUCUAAAAUAUAUGAAAAACACAACAUAUAGUUGCGUUAUAAAAAUUUUGCACAAGAUAAUGUGUUGGAUGUGAAAAUUCAAGUACUAAAUUUUUUACUUGAAUUAUUGACAUAAAAUAACUGCUUAUAAACCAAGAAGAAUUUUUUGCGUGGUAAAAAUCGCAUUAUUAAAAUUUGUGUAAAGGGACAAAUUUUA